rnacentral:rRNA from 1 species
CGGAGGAUCCAAGCAUUAUCCGGAAUCAUUGGGUUUAAAGGGUCCGUAGGCGGUCUAGUAAGUCAGUGGUGAAAGCCCAUCGCUCAACGGUGGAACGGCCAUUGAUACUGCUGGACUUGAAUUAUUAGGAAGUAACUAGAAUAUGUAGUGUAGCGGUGAAAUGCUUAGAGAUUACAUGGAAUACCAAUUGCGAAGGCAGGUUACUACUAAUGGAUUGACGCUGAUGGACGAAAGCGUGGGUAGCGAACAGGAUUAGAUACCCUGGUAGUCCACGCCGUAAACGAUGGAUACUAGCUGUUGGGCGCAAGUUCAGUGGCCAAGCGAAAGUGAUAAGUAUCCCACCUGGGGAGUACGUUCGCAAGAAUG